AUACGUAGGGGGCGAGCGUUGUCCGGAAUGAUUGGGCGUAAAGGGCGCGUAGGCGGCCCGGUAAGUCUGGAGUGAAAGUCCUGUUUUUAAGAUGGGAAUUGCUUUGGAUACUGUCGGGCUUGAGUGCAGGGGAGGUAAGUGGAAUUCCCAGUGUAGCGGUGAAAUGCGUAGAGAUUGGGAGGAACACCAGUGGCGAAGGCGACUUACUGGACUGUAACUGACGCUGAGGCGCGAAAGUGUGGGGAGCAAACAGGAUUAGAUACCCUGGUAGUCCACACUGUAAACGAUGAAUGCUAGGUGUAGGGGGUAUCGACCCCUUCUGUGCCGCAGUCAACACAAUAAGCAUUCCGCCUGGGGAGUACGGCCGCAAGGUUGAAACUCAAAUGAAUUGACGGGG
rnacentral:rRNA from 1 species